CCUGGCCCCUUCAAGGAAGCCUGAACUGUCUUGAGGGAUCUCUGAGCUUUGGGGAACUUUGGGGGAAGUUGAUGAGGGUUGGGAGUUGCCCCAGGCUGGGUGUAGGGUGGGACCUGUCCCUCCUUCAUAACCCUUUGCUCUGGUCCUUAUGCCUGCUGAGCCCUGUCUUCCCAGCAGCUGGGCUGGGAAUCCUGGGGCAGAGGGACCUCCUCCUAUCCUCUCUGUGUCCACAGGCUCAUGUCUAAACAGGCAUUGGGCCAAGCCCCAGAUUUCUGCAGGAAAGACCGAGAGGAUCCCUCCAAUCCAAUUACUCAAAUGUGCCCGCAUCCGCCGGUGGCGCCGAGAUUGGGCCGGCCCAUUUCUGCCUGGAUGCCAGCCGCACAGGGGCUGGCAUAGCAACAUGAGCUCUGAUCUGCUGAAACUUGGAGUCGAUUCGUCACUGGGAGGACAGAAAGAAAGACUGAAGAGGGCGCCUUUAAAAGUGAUGCGGGUCAGACAAAUCCAGGCUAAUCCCUGAAAUCCACAGAAAUGGGGUCUGGCAUUAACACGUGUGCCAUAGCAGCGACUCCCAGUGACACGGUGUGCCAGAUUUGGGUGUGUGAGACACGCUCCUCCACUGGCAUUCUACUCCACAAGAGGGAGUUCUGGACGGGAUCAGACCGCCAGCCCCCUGAUGGCUUUACUGCGCAGCUGUGUUUUCAAACUUUUAAACCAAGCAGCAGAACCUUUUCUUAAACAAUCUCACCCAGCACCUCUUUAUAUAAAACAAUAAUCAGCCUCCGAGGGGAGGCCUGGAGAGGCAACUCCCACCCCCUCCAGAAACCCCUAUCUUACCUGAGGAGGAGCCACUGGGACCCUCUUGAUCUUCGUCUGAAGAGGGGGCGCCACUGCAGUCAGGACCUGAAACGAGAUGAGCGGUUCACAGAGGUGUCCGGAACUCAACCGACAGCCAUCCAGCAGCCCAGAACAGGCUUUCACCCUCUUUGAAAAUAAGAUCACAUCAAGUCAAAGAUUCAAAAUGGGAAAAAUUCAAUCAGAGCCUCCCUCGGGCCAGCUACACAUCUCAAUACACUCGUCGGCCAGCAGAAUCGGCUCCCGCUACAACCCAGCUCAGCAUCAUCGUUCAAAACGCACCGGUGGGGUAUGUCAGUGAUGUCCAUGAUACCCUGAAGCUCCUGAGUGCGUGGGGCUGAGGCCAAGUUCCUGCCAUCAUCACACCUCUCCACUCUACAGUGCAGCAGAGCGGCUACUGUUGUCGCCAUUGUACAGACGCGGAAGCUGAAACUUUGAGAGAUGAAGCACACUGCCCAAGAUCACAGUGGAGCAGGUGGGAUUUGAACCCAGAUCCAUCUGACUCUGAAGCCAGAGCGCUUCUCCAUCUACCCUGCCACAGAGUCUCCCAUGCCCACCUCCUGCCCUUGACACGUGGCCUCUGGAAGGGGUCACCCUCAAAUACCUGUGCCAUGGCCCUGGGUAAGGGAGCUCUGUGGCGGUACCAGCAGCUGUGGCGCUUCUUGUCAAGUCCUGCCCAGCUCUGCUGGGGUGCCCCCUUAGUUGGAGGCCCUUGUUGACACGACCCAUUUGGACUGCAAUUUUAUAAGGUAAUUAUGGAUCAGUUUGGUGACCAUCAGGCCCUUCUGCUACAUCCUGGGAAAUGGACCUAACUCUGUUACAGGGUAAAUCAGAUAUAAUCAGCUCCUAAUUCAAUAUGGUGGCUCUAAGUAACAUUUAUCAAGAUACAGAAGCUGGUCCUGUGAGAUAGCCUACAGUGGUGGUUGGAUUAGACUCAGACAAGAAGAACCCAUUUGCUGACAGUUUUAAAAAUUAAGUGGAAGAGACAAACUUUUCCAGUACUGUACGUUAUUACAUACACUCGUGUGUUCCAGGCACAGACAAGGGCAUCUUUUGGAGUGGCCACCUGUACACCUCAGUCUCAUCCUGCCCGUGGCUCAUCCUUCAAGUCUUGACACAAGUGCCUGGACACCUGGAACACCUUCCUGUUCAAAAGCCAACCUGGGCGAUCAGAUGGUGGGCAGGGCUGGCUGUUGCUACCCCUUCUGUGCCCGAGGAUCCUAAAACUCUUAGCUACAGAGCUUAGGUAUAUUGGCAGACUUUCUCCCCAGCUCUGAGUGGGAUAGAAUUUCUCUUUUGAUUGGUGGUUUGGGAGUCACGUAGGCUAAAUAAUAAUCAGAUUAUUGAUUGGGUGAUCGUGAUUGGAUCUGUUACUUUUUGUUUGUUUCUUUGAGAGAGAGAGAAUGAGUGGGGGAGAAGGGCAGAUAGAGAGAAUCUUAAGCAGACUCCACACUCAAAUGUGGGAUUCAAUCCCAUGACCCUGGGAUCAUGACCUGAGCUGAAAUCAGGAGUUGGAUGCUCAACCGACCGAGCCACCCAGAUACCCUGGAUCUGUUACUUUUGCAUCGGAUCGAACUUUAUGUCCCCACUUCCUUCCCAACUGCCAGCCAAGUUGACCAACAGCAAGGCCCACACCAGACCCACACCAGACAGUUUUUGCAAACUUACGGAAGCAGUGGCCGCUAAGAGCCGACAAUGUUCCAUAGACUUCUACCCCAGCCUCCCCUAGCUGUAUGGGCCUGCCUUCCAGACCUCUGUGCAAGCUUCAACACCUCUUCACCCAUACUAGGGCUGGCUGGUGACCUUUGAUCCACCAAGUCCCUCGUUUGGACUCUCGCCCCCCUGUCUCCUCUCACAGUUGUUAAGGUCUAACUCCUGUAAUAAAUUCCU